rnacentral:misc_RNA from 1 species
UACGGAGGGUGCAAGCGUUAAUCGGAAUUACUGGGCGUAAAGCGCGCGUAGGUGGCUUGAUAAGUCAGGGGUGAAAGCCCCGGGCUCAACCUGGGAACGGCAUCCGGAACUGUCAAGCUAGAGCGCAGGAGAGGAAGGUAGAAUUCCCGGUGUAGCGGUGAAAUGCGUAGAGAUCGGGAGGAAUACCAGUGGCGAAGGCGGCCUUCUGGACUGACACUGACACUGAGGUGCGAAAGCGUGGGUAGCGAACAGG